CCUGCUCCCCAUCAGCAGCAUCAUACUCCGGUAACUUCUGGAAAUGCUUGAAAGAGUGGAGUUUUGUGGAAAUUGGACCUGGGGCUGGGUUCUGACGGAGGAAGCAGGAAGUCAAAUGGAUAAACUGAGGGCUCAGUGGGUCAUGACCUGCCCAGAGUCAUGGAGGGAGUGAGAGGCAGAGCCAGGAUGAGCUCCCAGGCCCUGAAACUUCUGGGCCAGUGGCCUACACACAGAGCUUCCCACCCUUCCUCAUUGGGUUUCUGCAAGCCCUCCCCACCCCAGCACUCUGCAGGGCCUGGGAAGUGAACCAGCUGGGAGGAUUCUUAGAGAAGAAAAGUGCUGAUUUAAGAGAAACUGCAUUAUUUGUGAAAUACAAAAUUCAUCUUGUGGGUGUAAGAGAUGCCUUCGUGGACGGAUGAAGCUCCUGGUACUAAGUAGCAGACAAUGUGAUGGUCAUGAAGUCUCUGUCAGAGAGGAAAG
rnacentral:lncRNA from 10 species